CAGGAAUCUAACCGUUGGGGUUGUUUUGCAUAACUGUUGGGAAAAUGAGUCACUUUGCCUUGCCGUUGCUACACUCAGGAAAUGGAAGCUUCAGAAGGGCCUAGGGUGGUGCUGUGUGGAGGAGUUGAUGGCAGAUGAAGUCAGAACUGAGUGUCAGC
rnacentral:lncRNA from 1 species